UGGGGAAUAUUGGACAAUGGGCGGAAGCCUGAUCCAGCCAUGCCGCGUGUGCGAAGAAGGCCUUUUGGUUGUAAAGCACUUUAAGCGAGGAGGAGGCUACUUGGAUUAAUACUCUAGGAUAGUGGACGUUACUCGCAGAAUAAGCACCGGCUAACUCUGUGCCAGCAGCCGCGGUAAUACAGAGGGUGCGAGCGUUAAUCGGAUUUACUGGGCGUAAAGCGUGCGUAGGCGGCUUUUUAAGUCGGAUGUGAAAUCCCUGAGCUUAACUUAGGAAUUGCAUUCGAUACUGGGAAGCUAGAGUAUGGGAGAGGAUGGUAGAAUUCCAGGUGUAGCGGUGAAAUGCGUAGAGAUCUGGAGGAAUACCGAUGGCGAAGGCAGCCAUCUGGCCUAAUACUGACGCUGAGGUACGAAAGCAUGGGGAGCAAACAGG
rnacentral:rRNA from 1 species